AACGUAGGUACCGAGCGUUAUCCGGAUUCACUGGGCGUAAAGCGUGUGCAGGUGGUUUGGUAAGUCGGGCAUAAAAACUCUUGGCUCAACUGAGAGACGCUGUCCGAUACUGUCGAACUUGAGGAUGUGAGAGGGAGGUGGAAUUCCGCAUGUAGUGGUGAAAUGCGUAGAUAUGCGGAGGAACACCAGUGGCGAAGGCGGCCUCCUGGCACAUUCCUGACACUCAUACACGAAAGCUAGGGGAGCGAACGGG
rnacentral:rRNA from 1 species